UGGGGAAUAUUGCGCAAUGGGGGAAACCCUGACGCAGCAACGCCGCGUGAGUGAGGAAGGCCCUCGGGUCGUAAAGCUCUGUCAGAUGGGAAGAAAGUGCAUUGGUCUAAUAGGCCAAUGUAUUGACGGUACCUUCAGAGGAAGCACCGGCUAACUUCGUGCCAGCAGCCGCGGUAAUACGAAGGGUGCAAGCGUUAUUCGGAUUUACUGGGCGUAAAGCGCGCGCAGGCGGAUUGGUAAGUCAGAUGUGAAAUCUCGGGGCUCAACCCCGAAACUGCGUCUGAAACUAUCAAUCUAGAGUCUUGGAGGGGGAAGUGGAAUUUCGCAUGUAGGGGUAAAAUCCGUAGAGAUGCGAAGGAACACCAGAGGCGAAGGCGACUUCCUGGCCAAGUACUGACGCUGAGGCGCGAAAGCGUGGGGAGCAAACAGGAUUAGAUACCCCCGUAGUCC
rnacentral:rRNA from 1 species